GCCCCAACUCCUUCCUCGUCCCCCUUUUCCCGUUUUCCUCCCUCGUCCCCCUUUUCCUUUUGUCCUUCUCAUGCACUUCUUGCUAUCCCGCCUUUUCCUCGCCUUCCCUCAUCUCUUCUUGCACUCUUUGACCCCAUUUUCCUCCCCCCAUCCUUAUUUCUCUUCAUAUUCUCCUGUUCUUUUUUCCCCUUUCCUCUUCUUCAUCCCCAGCUCUGCUUCCCCCCCACCUCACGUCCCCUUUCUUCUGUCCCUGUACCCCAUUUUUCCCUUUUUUUCCCCACCCCCUUUUUUUGUUCUCUGCUGUCCCCUAUUCCCUUUUUCCUCUUUGCUCCCUCUCUCUCCUUUCUUCCCCCUCAUCCUGUUACAGAAGAGAGUGAAGGAAUGAUGGACAAGCUGGUGCAGGAUGGCAGCAGCAGGGUGGAAGCCCAGGUGGGUGCGAUGAAGCCGGGGGUGGGAGUGGGUGGAGCCAGAGCCCAGCCUGAGCUCAUGGAAGGGCUGGGAAUCGCAGGGCUCAGAUGGGUGCCUGGGCUUCUGGUGUCAGGGAGGUUGGGUGAGCAGUGAGGUUUGGGAGGGACCGAGUUGUUGACCUUGAGAUUGCUGCCCAGCUCCUUGCUCGUCGCAUUCUGUUCGGCUGGAGGUUCCGGACACGGCUUGCUCUUCUAAGCAGUGUGAGGACUGCGAGAAAGACUUAGUUGGAUGCAGCAGGAAAGCACAGCCGCUGGUGGAUGCCAGUGUGCGCUCCUGAGGCUCUGCGCCAAGCUCCGCCCAGUGCUGAUGGGAUGUCAGUGCCACCUGCUGCUCUUAAUAAAAGGUAGGUUUGGUUUCUUUUGGUUUCCAUAGCAUUUGCUACACUUUCAUUCUGUCUCUCUUCUUUUUUUUUUUUCUUUUUGCUCUGAAUAAAUGGCAGGUUCAAUUCAUUUUGGCUCCUGUAGUAUUUGCUACACGUGUGUUCUGUUUCUCUUCUCUUUUUUCCAUGUUGCCUGGCGGUGCCUCGCUGGAGUUCCCAUGACCCCCGGGCACACUUGUGACCAAGUGAGGUGCCAAAAACAGAGGUAUCUCCUCAACAGGCUUGUGCUGAGUGCUGUCCUCGUCUUGGGGAUUGGCGACUUCACCACCAGAAGUAGCAGGCAUUUUGGGAUGUCCAAGGUUCCGCAGUGAACGUGUCCUGUUCCUGGUAAAGGUGUGGGCGUUCCUGGACACGAAGGUAUCUAUCUUCAUGCCUUGCCCAUGUGCCCAGUCCCCCACCAGAUGCUGUUCGCCUUUUGGCCCCCCUGAUUUGCUGCACUGCUGCGCCCUGAUCCGUGCAGAGGGGCUCUCAUUGGUCAGUGG